rnacentral:rRNA from 1 species
AGCUGAUCACUGGGCAUAAAGCGUGCGCAGGCGGUUUUGUAAGACAGAGGUGAAAUCCCCGGGCUCAACCUGGGAACUGCCUUUGUGACUGCAAGGCUGGAGUGCGGCAGAGGGGGGAUGGAAUUCCGCGUGUAGCAGUGAAAUGCGUAGAUAUGCGGAGGAACGCCGAUGGCGAAGGCAAUCCCCUGGGCCUGCACUGACGCUCAUGCACGAAAGCGUGGGGAGCAAACA